rnacentral:rRNA from 1 species
GAGUUUGAUCCUGGCUCAGAACGAACGCUGGCGGCGUGCUUAACACAUGCAAGUCGAACGUGAUCCGGAGCUUGCUCCGGUGAAAGUGGCGCACGGGUGAGUAACGCGUGGAUAAUCUGCCCUGGUAUCUGGGAUAACAUCUCGAAAGGGGUGCUAAUACCGGAUAAGCCCACGGGAUCCUCGGAUUCUGCGGGAAAAGGUGGCCUCUAUUUAUAAGCUACCGUAUCAGGAUGAGUCCGCGUACCAUUAGCUAGUUGGUGGGGUAAUGGCCCACCAAGGCUACGAUGGUUAGCUGGUCUAARAGGACGAUCAGCAACAUUGGGACUGAGACACUGCCCAGACUCCUACGGGAGGCUGCAGUCGAGGAUYUUUAGCAAUGCCCGAAAGGGUGACUAUGCGACGCCGCGUGCAGGAUGAAGGCCUUCGGGUUGUAAACUGCUGUCAGGGGGGAAGAAACCUUACGUGUAAAUAGCGCGUAAGCUGACAUCACCCCCAAAGGAAGCCACGGCUAACUCUGUGCCAGCAGCCGCGGUAAUAC